rnacentral:rRNA from 1 species
CCUACGGGUGGCAGCAGUGGGGAAUAUUGCGCAAUGGGCGAAAGCCUGACGCAGCGACGUCGCGUGAGGGAUGAAGGUCUUCGGAUUGUUAACCCUCGUCUGCCGGGAAGAACGGUCACUGUGCUAUUCAGCAGUGAAUUGACGGUACCUGCAAAGGAAGCACCGGCUAACUCCGUGCCAGCAGCCGCGGUAAUACGGAGGGUGCGUGCGUUAAUCGGAAUUACUGGGCGGAAAGCGGUGGGAGGCGGUAAGUCAAGUCAAGGGUGAAAUCCGCGCGCCCAACGUGGGAACUGCCUUUGAAACUGGCGGACUGGAGUGUGUGAGAGGAUGGUGGAAUGCGAGGUGUAGGAGUGAAAU